rnacentral:rRNA from 1 species
GACGGAGGUGGCAAGCGUUGCUCGGAAUCACUGGGCAUAAAGGGCGCCUAGGCAGUGCGGCAAGUCGACUGUGAAAUCCCCCGGCUCAACCGAGGAAGUGCAGCCGAAACUGCCGUGCUAGAGGACGAGAGGGGAGAGUGGAACUCCUGGUGGAGCGGUGAAAUGCGUAGAUAUCAGGAGGAACGCCGGUGGCGAAAGCGACUCUCUGGCUCGUUCCUGACGCUGACGCGCGAAAGCUAGGGGAGCGAAC